rfam:Gossypium hirsutum cultivar TM-1 chromosome 4, whole genome shotgun sequence
UAUUAAAAAUUUUAUCAAUUUGUACUGUUAAAAACUGGCGUGGCUAAUGGAAUAAUUAACCAAUGACACGUGCUGUGCCACAUGUAUCUUAUGUUGAUGUACAUAGAUCAAUUUUUAACAGUAGAAAUGGAAAAAAGUUUUAAUG